rnacentral:rRNA from 1 species
AUUGAACGCUGGCGGCAUGCCCUACACAUGCAAGUCGAACGGUAACGCGGGGCAACCUGGCGACGAGUGGCGAACGGGUGAGUAAUGCAUCGGAACGUGCCCAGUUGUGGGGGAUAACUGCUCGAAAGAGCAGCUAAUACCGCAUACGACCUGAGGGUGAAAGCGGGGGAUCGCAAGACCUCGCGCAAUUGGAGCGGCCGAUGUCGGAUUAGCUAGUUGGUGGGGUAAGGCCCACCAAGGCGACGAUCCGUAGCUGGUCUGAGGGGACGACCAGCCACACUGGGACUGAGACACGGCCCAGACUCCUACGGGAGGCAGCAGUGGGGAAUUUUGGACAAUGGACGCAAGUCUGAUCCAGCCAUGCCGCGUGCGGGAAGAAGGCCUUCGGGUUGUAAACCGCUUUUGUCAGGGAAGAAAUCUUCUGGGUUAAUACCUCGGGAGGAUGACGGUACCUGAAGAAUAAGCACCGGCUAACUACGUGCCAGCAGCCGCAGUAAAAC